CUCGAAAUUCUUUCCCUCUCUCUAUAUCGUAAAUCAGCGCUUUUUGAUCUCUUUGCAUUCUCAGAUGGCACCGAAGGCAGCAGAGAAGAAACCAGCGGAGAAGAAGCCGGCGGAGGAGAAGAAGGCCGAGAAGGCACCAGCGGAGAAGAAGCCUAGGGCGGAGAAGAAGUUGCCAAAGGAAAGCGGCGCCAGUGACAAGAAGAAGAAGCGCACAAAGAAGAGCGUGGAGACCUACAAGAUCUACAUCUUCAAGGUCCUGAAACAGGUUCACCCAGAUAUUGGGAUC
rnacentral:misc_RNA from 1 species